rnacentral:tRNA from 1 species
GUUUGUGGCUCAGUGGUAGAGUGCUCACCUAGCGCGUGUAAGACCCUGGGUUCCAUCCUCAGCAUUACA